GAUGAACGCUAGCGAUAGGCUUAACACAUGCAAGUCGAGGGGCAGCACAAGGUAGCUUGCUAUCUGGGUGGCGACCGGCGCACGGGUGCGUAACGCGUAUGCAACUUGCCCUAUACAGGAGGAUAACCCGUCGAAAGACGGACUAAUACUGCGUAUGCUCACAACUUGGCAUCAAGUGGUGAGGAAAGAAAUUCGGUAUAGGAUAGGCAUGCGUCCCAUUAGCUUGUUGGUGAGGUAACGGCUCACCAAGGCAACGAUGGGUAGGGGAACUGAGAGGUUUAUCCCCCACACUGGUACUGAGACACGGACCAGACUCCUACGGGAGGCAGCAGUGAGGAAUAUUGGUCAAUGGGCGCGAGCCUGAACCAGCCAGGUCGCGUGAAGGAGGACUGUCUUAUGGAUUGUAAACUUCUUUUAUACGGGAAUAACAAGAGUCACGUGUGACUCCCUGCAUGUACCGUAUGAAUAAGCAUCGGCUAACUCCGUG
rnacentral:rRNA from 1 species